CCCUAGCCCCGAUAGAAACGGUUACCCCGCAGCAUGGGUUGGAGAGUUUGAGGGUCGAAGCGUGGGAGUGUAAAGGCGCGAGGAGUAUGAGUGGAUAGCGGGAAAUAGC
rnacentral:misc_RNA from 1 species